UCAGAAUCACGUGCUGAGUGAUGGCCUCCCUCAGCGACCCUACGUACCGCAUUACCUAUGUGCCCGGCCCUAACGGCUCCGCUGACAGACUGCCCUGUGGGGCGUGAAGCCGGUCUGCCCAGAAGUCCCAGGUUCCGCUAGAGGAGGUUGCCUUUGCAGGAACCACUGCAAUCCCUGCGUGUCCAAACUCAUGUUCCGGGUAGGAGACAACAGGUGAUGGAUGAGCUGCCAAGGCUGGGAGGCUGCCAGCAUCCAGCCACGGGCACCCGGGGCUUGGCACCCCUUUCCCAAGGGGAGGUAGACAUGAAUACAUCAACGUGGUGGGGUCAGGUUCAAGUCUGCCUCAAUGAAACCCCGGGGACCUCCUCCUUGAAAAACAACUGGGACAGUGUGACAGCUUUUAAGGAUGCCAAAGAAGAGGGUCCCCGGGGAAAUGUCCCCAGGGAAGGCUCUGCCUGCAGGAGGCUGUGAGUGACAGCCGGCAGGAGCAGGGACAGCUGGCCCGGGUGAACUGUCUGAUUUGCCAGUGACCGGAAGCACCGAACACUUGUCAGGGCUGGGGGUCGCAAUGACCACGGCAGCAGUACCACCGAUUAGUACUGGGGGUGGGGCCUACGGAGCAGUAGAUGGCUCUGAAGGACUUGACCGUGAGAUGGUCACCACGUUGGGGUCCUUGCAGCCCUUCCAGCGGCUUUGUUUGGGGCCUUGAUAAACAAAACCCAUGUCGGGCUUUACGGUUGUCAGAUAAUCUGCGGCUCCUUUAACAUCUGGUUCAUGAUGCGAUUGUUUCUCAUGACAAAUGGGUGGUGGGACAGAAAGAUGAGAAGGAUGGGGACAGAAAUCUCCACCUGGAGAAGCUCCGCACCAAAGCUCCGUGCUGGAGGGGAGGAGAUGGACCGCGCGUGCGGCUCAUGUAUUUGUAAGAGACACACACAAAGGCGACUGCUUUCUCUGAAACAACAGUGCUAAGACACGCUGGCGAGCACACCAAGGAACUCUCCACCAGGCUGUCUGACCUGAGUGGGUCAAGGCGCCUCCCUGCCACAGUCUCUGGUUUCUGAGAUGCUCUCCUCGUUGGUGUUGUGAAAAGCAAGGAGAAAAAGGGAGCAACUGUGCUCUGUAAGCCAGGAGGUGUUUUCCUGAGGUAGUUGUGAAGUUACCUGAGCGAAGGCAUUGAGAGGUGAGGAGCCGUGGAGAUCCUGCCAAGUGAGAGCUACCCCUUAAUGGGGACAAUGACUGCGUAUUAACCAAACUCAUAAUUUCUGUGAAGUACAUGCUUUAACAGCCACGAAGGGGGCUAUUAGCAACCCCUAAGCAAAUUAUGACUCUCCCAACGUGAAGGUCAAGCCUGUGUGUCAACUUCGCUGAGCCACGGUGCCCAGAUAUAUGGUCAAACAUUAUUCUGGAUGUUUCUAUGAGGGUGUAGCAGGAUGAAAGGAACAUUUAAGUCAUUGGACUUUCCGUAAAGCACAUUGUCUUCCAGAAUGUGGGUGGGCCUUAUCUAAUCAGUUGAAGGCCAGGAUUGAACAAAAGAUUGACCUCCCCUGAGCAAGAGGACAUUCUGCCAGAAGACUGUCUCUGGACUUGAACUGCAGUGCUGGCUCUUCCCGGUCUCCAGCUUCCUGGCCUACUUGGCAGAUUUUGGACCUGACAGCCUCCAUAGUCACCAUAAAGACAUGAGCUAAUUCUUUAAAAUAAAUCUCUCUCCUUCUCUCUCUCUCUCUCUCUCUCUCUCUCUCUCUCUCUCACACACACACACACACACACAUACACACACAUUCUAUUGGUUCUGUUUCUUUGGAGAACCCUGACUAAUAUGCCCAUAGACAUCCGGAGUCCUCAGAUAGCUUUCUACUAUAGACUCUUAACAGUCCCAGUGAACAUGAAUUUCACAGGGGACCCGGGUUCAAACUUAGCUAGCCAAUCCUAAGCCUGAUUGUCCUGCUUCGCCUGAUCCUUCCCAUAGAAACCAUGGUGAAGGUUCUUGCCCACAGA